rnacentral:rRNA from 1 species
GCCAGACUCCUACGGGAGGCAGCAGUGGGGAAUAUUGGGCAAUGGGCGCAAGCCUGACCCAGCAACGCCGCGUGAAGGAAGAAGGCUUUCGGGUUGUAAACUUCUUUUGUCAGGGACGAAGCAAGUGACGGUACCUGACGAAUAAGCCACGGCUAACUACGUGCCAGCAGCCGCGGUAAUACGGAGGAUGCGAGCGUUAUCCGGAUUUAUUGGGUUUAAAGGGUGCGUAGGCGGGAUGCCAAGUCAGCGGUCAAAUGCGGGGGCUCAACCUGCGUCCGCCGUUGAAACUGGCGUUCUUGAGUGGGCGAGGAGUACGCGGAAUGCGUGGUGUAGCGGUGAAAUGCAUAGAUAUCACGCAGAACCCCGAUUGCGAAGGCAGCGUACCGGCGCCCAACUGACGCUGAAGCACGAAAGCGUGGGUAUCGAACAGGAUUAGAUACCCCCGUAA